UAAAAUGUGACUGAGCAAGCUGUGCAAGCCGGUCACAGGGAAGGCAGUGCCCUCCUGUGAGUCCCACAUGGCAAGCCCUUCUAAUGCCAGUUUCAAAAUCACCAAACUUAAAGCAACAGGUGAUGCCAGCGGUGUUAGAAGGCAGGGCCCGAGGGCAGAGGACAUCUCGAGUGCACACUUGCUUUCUGAUCAACCCUUUGCCUGACCUUUUACUUACACAAGUGUGACUCUGCAGUUUCUCACUCCGUGGAAACAGAUACUGCGUGUGUUACCCCCUUUUAAUCUCUUCUGGAAGAGAGCAAAUGUUUACUCAGUGAGAUGUUCGCUGGACUGGUUUAUGGAGCCUACAGUAAUAUAGCAAAUCUGAGUGACCCCUGAAGGGGCUAAGUGACACACUGAGAAGGCUGGUGCCUGGGCCUCUCAGAGAGAAGAGAGAGACCAAGUGUUGGACCAAAUCUGAAACAGCCGGGCACGGUGGUGUCUGCUGUUAAUUACAGCAGCGGGACUCGGAGGCAGGCUGGGCUCUUCGAGUUCAAGCCCAGCUAAGACUACAUAACAAAAAACCUUAUGAAAACCGCAUCUCUGUUUUCAGCUUUUUAAAUUGGCCUGCGUGACCCGCCCACUUGGUGUAAAAGAAGAACCGGCCAAAGGGAGGGCCUGAAGGAGUGAGUACAGAGCUGGUCAGGCUGGUUGCUGGGGAUGCAGUUGUCCCUGUGUGGGAUUCUGGAGGAUUUACAGUUCCCUUGUUUCUUUGCCUACACAGUAGCUUUCAUUCUUGGCCACGGGAUAGAGUUGAACCUUGGUGUUCAAAUAGAUAUUCAAACUGCCAUUGCUGUGUGUUAGUGUAACUAUAGUUCUUUUAAAUAGUUUUAAACUGCAAAUGCAAUUGACUUCCAUUUGCCUUACUUUAUAUAAUGUAUCAUUUCUGUGGAGAGGAGUAUUUUGAUUAAACAAAUCCUAAAUUGUUAACCAGGGAGAGUCAUCAUAAACCUGUAUACUGCAAACCUACCAAGUGUUCUGUUAGUCAUCUACGAAAGAUAGAGGGCCUGGAAAAUAGCCUUGGUCUCAUCUUGUGAGUUAACCAGCAGUUGUGACUUAACACAGAAAAAUGUAGAAAUGAAAGUGGGAUCAGAAGACCGUUUGGAAUAAAUACAUAACAGCUGACUAAGCAAGACUUAACCGUUGGAGGAGAGCUGUCAGGAAAACGUACGGCCUAAAGCUGGAGAUAGCUGGAAAUGUCUGGAGUCAUUUUUUGGUUGGCACAUUUGGCAUACUAGGCAGAGGUGGAGUGAGCUCUCUAUGGGUGUCUAGUGAGUACAGACCAGAGAUGCUGCUAAACAACCUACUCUACACAGCACAGCUUAUGACUGGGAACCACCAGCCAGACGGUAGUGCUCGUUACAGGUUAGGUCAGCUACAAGUCCUCAAAUACCAUCCCCUGUGGUUUUCUUUUUCUUUUCUUUUUUAAGAUUUAUUUAUUUAUUUAUUUAUUUAUUUAUUUAUUUAUUUAUUUAUUUAAUGUAUGUGAGUACACUCUACAGAUGGUUGUGAGCCUUCAUGUGGUUGUUUGGAAUUGAAUUUUAGGACCUCUGCUCUCUCCAGUCAGCUCUGCUUGCUCAGUCCCUGCUCGCUCCAGCCCAAAGAUUUAUUUAUUAUUAUACAUAAGUACACUGUAGCUGACUUUAGAUACACCAAAAGAGGGUGCCAGAUCUCAUUACGGGUGGUUGUGAGCCACCAUGUGGUUGCUGGGAUUUGAACUCAGGACCUUCGAAAGAGAAGUCAGUGCUCUUACCCUCUGAGCCAUCUUGACAGCCCCCAUUUUGUUUUUUAUUUAGUGUCUAUCUAGG
rnacentral:lncRNA from 1 species